rnacentral:rRNA from 1 species
AAUAUUGGACAAUGGGGGCAACCCUGAUCCAGCCAUGCCGCGUGUGUGAAGAAGGUCUCCGGAUUGUAAAGCACUUUAAGUUGGGAGGAAGGGCUUUAGGUUAAUACCCUGAAGUUUUGACGUUACCAACAGAAUAAGCACCGGCUAACUCUGUGCCAGCAGCCGCGGUAAUACAGAGGGUGCAAGCGUUAGUCGGAAUUACGGGGCGGAAGCGGGGGGUAGUUGGUUAGGAAGAUUGGUUUUAAAACCCCGGGCUUAACCUGGGAACUGCUUUCAUAACUGCUGAGCUAGAGUACGGUAGAGGGUAGUGGAAUUUCCUGUGUAGCGGUGAAAUGCGUAGAUAUAGGAAGGAACACCAGUGGCGAAGGCGACUACCUGGACUGAUACUGACACUGAGGUGCGAAAGCGUGGGGAGCAAAC